ACUGUUUUUCACAGCAUUUUCUCACCUCUCAACUCGAGUUCCGAACCUCAUAACCAGUUGAGCUCUCGUCAAGACAACACAGCUGAGAGGAAUCAUAGGGUGGUCACCUGAGAGGAAUCAAUCAUAGCAUAAUCAUCUACACCUGUAUCCUGCUAUCUACACCUCUAGCCUGCUAUCUACACUCGAGGAGAUUCACGCAACAUCAAGCACUACAUACACGUGCGAGCGAGAGCGUGGCACAAGGCGAAAAAAAUUCGAAUUUCUCCCCAACAACAACACGUGCUCUCAGAUCGUUAUCAGAUUCAUUUUCUCACCUCUCAACUCGAGUUCCGAACCUCAUAACCAGUUGAGCUCUCGUCAAGACAACACAGCUGAGAGGAAUCAUAGGGUGGUCACCUGAGAGGAAUCAAUCAUAGCAUAAUCAUCUACACCUGUAUCCUGCUAUCUACACCUCUAGCCUGCUAUCUACACUCGAGGAGAUUCACGCAACAUCAAGCACUACAUAAUCAUGCCGAGGGAACGCAGACUUCGUGGUAUCAAUUCCGCAGCAGUCCGUCAUCGCAUCAGCCUCGAUGAGGAGGAUAUCGACAUCAGCAGUGUGCUCGAGAGCUCGAAACGUCGAGUUUUCGAUAUAAUUAGGGAACAUGCCGCACGCUAUGAUGGCAAUGUUAAGUGGUACAUCGUCCUCAACGUUUUGCUGUAUAAAUUAGUGGUGAUGGAUGACAAGCAGGUUGGUGACUCUGUCUCAUCUCUAAUAAAUCUACAUAGUUACUCCAACAUAGCACUAAAUGUGCUUGAGAACUAUGAAGAGUUUAAUGAGCAUUUCAUGUUAGCUGUGAGAAAAAUUCUCUCAUCUUUUGAAAAUUUUGUAAGAUAUGGGAGUGGAUGGGUGCUAAAGAAAAUUGAAUCACUGGAUGUGAAUGUGAUUAAAUUUAAUCCUAUAUACACAUCCAGUUUCAUUCAGACA